rnacentral:rRNA from 1 species
UACGGAGGGGGCUAGCGUUGUUCGGAAUUACUGGGCGUAAAGCGCGCGUAGGCGGUCUUGCAAGUCGGGGGUGAAAGCCCGAGGCUCAACCUCGGAACUGCCUUCGAUACUGCGGGUCUCGAGUCCGGGAGAGGUGAGUGGAAUUCCUAGUGCAGAGGUGAAAUUCGUAGAUAUUAGGAAGAACACCAGUGGCGAAGGCGGCUCACUGGCCCGGUACUGACGCUGAGGCGCGAAAGCGUGGGGAGCAAACAGG